rnacentral:ncRNA from 1 species
AAGUCCCACCUGCCUAAAGUUUAGCCAACAGGGCAGUAGUGAAGCCUGAGGGUAAACCCAGUAAUGGGAGUCCGAAGCCAGGUGGAUCAAGAGUGCAGGGUCUGUAUUGAGCCCCGAAACAUGUAUAGUUGUGGACCAUUAGGAUAAUCCCGUAGUUGGGAGAAAGCCGACGGCUUGGAUUUGUCAGGAAGGCAGCAGACCUGAAUGCGUUAAGGCGAGUAUUCAGUGUCACCACCGGGGUCUAAGACC